rnacentral:rRNA from 1 species
GAUGAACGCUGGCGGCGUGCCUAAUACAUGCCAGUCGAGCGAACGGACGGGAAGCUUGCUUCUCUGAUGUUAGCGGCGGACGGGUGAGUAACACGUGGAUAACCUACCUAUAAGACUGGGAUAACUUCGGGAAACCGGAGCUAAUACCGGAUAAUAUUUUGAACCGCAUGGUUCAAAAGUGAAAGACGGUCUUGCUGUCACUUAUAGAUGGAUCCGCGCUGCAUUAGCUAGUUGGUAAGGUAACGGCUUACCAAGGCAACGAUGCAUAGCCGACCUGAGAGGGUGAUCGGCCACACUGGAACUGAGACACGGUCCAGACUCCUACGGGAGGCAGCAGUAGGGAAUCUUCCGCAAUGGGCGAAAGCCUGACGGAGCAACGCCGCGUGAGUGAUGAAGGUCUUCGGAUCGUAAAACUCUGUUAUUAGGGAAGAACAUAUGUGUAAGUAACUGUGCACAUCUUGACGGUACCUAAUCAGAAAGCCACGGCUAACUACGUG